AUCGCAGGUAAUUUUUCUAGAUGAUUUUGACAUCUAGAUAAUUCUAGUAACAGCUUCUGGAAGUUUCGCUGAUAAAUGCCUUAUUUUCUUAUUUUACAAAGGCGUUUACUAGUAACUCUGCCAUACAUUG